UGGGGAAUUUUGGACAAUGGGCGCAAGCCUGAUCCAGCCAUGCCGCGUGCGGGAAGAAGGCCUUCGGGUUGUAAACCGCUUUUGUCAGGGAAGAAAUCUUCUGAGUUAAUACCUCGGGAGGAUGACGGUACCUGAAGAAUAAGCACCGGCUAACUACGUGCCAGCAGCCGCGGUAAUACGUAGGGUGCAAGCGUUAAUCGGAAUUACUGGGCGUAAAGCGUGCGCAGGCGGUUUUGUAAGACAGAGGUGAAAUCCCCGGGCUCAACCUGGGAACUGCCUUUGUGACUGCAAGGCUUGAGUGCGGCAGAGGGGGAUGGAAUUCCGCGUGUAGCAGUGAAAUGCGUAGAUAUGCGGAGGAAUACCGAUGGCGAAGGCAGCCCCCUGGGCCAAUACUGACGCUCAUGCACGAAAGCGUGGGGAGCAAACAGGAUUAGAUACCCUGGUAGUCCACGCCCUAAACGAUGUCAACUAGUUGUUGGGGAUUCAUUUCCUUAGUAACGUAGCUAACGCGUGAAGUUGACCGCCUGGGGAGUACGGUCGCAAGAUUAAAACUCAAAUGAAUUGACGGGGUC
rnacentral:rRNA from 1 species